GGGGAAUAUUGGACAAUGGGCGCGAGCCUGAUCCAGCCAUGCCGCGUGGGUGAAGAAGGCCUUCGGGUUGUAAAGCCCUUUUGUUGGGAAAGAAAAGCAGCCGGCCAAUACCCGGUUGUUCUGACGGUACCUGAAGAAUAAGCACCGGCUAACUAGGUGCCAGCAGCCGCGGUAAUACGUAGGGUGCAAGCGUUAAUCGGAAUUACUGGGCGUAAAGCGUGCGCAGGCGGUUAUGUAAGUCAGAUGUGAAAUCCCCGGGCUCAACCUGGGAAUGGCAUUUGAGACUGCAUGGCUAGAGUGUGUCAGAGGGGGGUAGAAUUCCACGUGUAGCAGUGAAAUGCGUAGAGAUGUGGAGGAAUACCGAUGGCGAAGGCAGCCCCCUGGGAUAACACUGACGCUCAUGCACGAAAGCGUGGGGAGCAAACA
rnacentral:rRNA from 1 species